GCCUAGGAGAGGCAUCGGGCUCCGGCAGAGCAACCUUCUGAUCGACGCAGCAGAACUGACGAUCUGAGAGGAGAAGCAGGCCUAGGAGAGGCAUCCUGCACCAGCGGAACAACCUGAUGACAACGUAGCUUCGAAAUCGACUCCGCUGUUGCGCAU